rnacentral:lncRNA from 1 species
ACAAGUAGUAGAAAGAAUAAAGGAGAGGGAUGAGAAGGGGCAGAUGAUUGAAGGACCUUGCCUAUGUUCAUGCAACUCUUCUGCAAAUACAGAUUCACCUGAUCCUAUUAACCUAAUUCUCAAGGAGCCUCUUUCUGCUCCUUUCUGAUUAUAUGCUCAGAACAUUUAUUUUUCUUUUAAUGAGGAGGCUUAAUUCGUGUGAAUAUAAUCCCAUCAAUAAUAAUAAUGCUC